GAUAGAUAGACUCAAAGACAGACAAACUAUUCACCUUCUUUAUUACUGCAGCGAGGAUGGUGAUCGCAAAACAGUGGAAAAGUGAGAAGGCCCCAACGAAGGAAGCCUGGUUGAAUAAAUUGAUCGAAAUAAAGGACAUGGACAAACUUACUUUUUUGACAAGAAAGAGCAACGGAAGAGUCAUGAAGACCACGAAUUGGUCAACCUUUGAGGACUAUCUUAGGAAAGGAUAUUAAGGAAAGGAUUAAAAAAGGAUAUGAUUUGCAUUAUUGCCAUGCCAUUAACCCUCCAGCCCUGUAGAUGUCGCUGUAGGAAAUCAAAGAAAACCCAAAAGGAGGAGCAGAAGAAAUAAAGGUGUGUUUCCUUUCUCUUCCAGCCUUGGCAGAAGGAAGGAAGCAAAGAAGGAAGAAGGAAGCAGAGGAGGAAGAAAACUCCCAGGCAAAACAGUUCCUGGGAAUAGCAAGCAAGCAUGGCUAAGGAGUCUAUCUAAAACCUAUACGUUUACAAUGCAAAAAGGCCGAGGAUUGGGACCCGGAACCCAUUAAAAAAGAAAGAAAAGUGGGGUUUCCAAGCCAAGAAGAAGCCUUUCGUUCAUCCUUUUUGAUCACAAUGAACCCAUCAUACCUUGAAAGCUUUAAAGAACAAUAACGUUGGCAAUUUGUAACCUAUUUUUUUAAAAACACCCCUUUUUCUGCAAUAUUUUUUUAUUUGAAAGGCAGGUGGAGGUUUUUUAAAAAUUAUUUUUAUAUUGCUUUUUUCUACCCAAACAUUAUUUUUCCCUUUGUUUUUUUUCCUUUCGCAACAACAACAACAGUAAUCCUCUACACCAAAAGAUCAGUUUUCCUGGACGUUGAAUAAUUGCAUUUCAAGUGCAAGUAAUCGGUUGUUAUUUGAGACUCAAAAGAGAGACAUAGGUUUGAAUAAGAGCUUUUGAAAGUUUUUUUCCCCCCAAUAGUGCCUAAUAAACAUCCCGUGGAACCAGCAAUCCCGAUUGUAAACUAUUCUUUAUUAUUAUUAUUAUUGCAAAUAAUAAUUAAUAAUAUAAUUAAUAGCAACAAUUAUAAUAUUUUUCUGGUCACUUUUCCACCCCAAAUCUCUGUUUCCAUCUGUUAGCAUUUAAAUUAGUAUUAUUAUUAGUAAUUAUUAAUACUAAUAAUAUAAAAUUUAUAUUAAUAACAAUAUUAUCUGUUCCUGGACAUUUUUCCAGCCCAAUCUCUGUUUCCAUCUGGUAGCAAGCUGAAUUAUUAAUUAAUUAAUUAAUUAAUUAAUUGAUAAUACCAUCACAUUUCUAUUAUUAAUAAUAUUAUCAGUUCCUGGACAUUUUUCCAGCCCAAAUCUCUGCUUUCUCCUGGUAGCAAGCUGAAUUAUUAUUAACUAAUAAAUUAUUAAUUAAUUAAUAAUAAUACCACCAAAAUUCUAUUAUUAAUAAUAUUAUCUGUU